rnacentral:rRNA from 1 species
UACGUAGGGUGCGAGCGUUGUCCGGAAUUAUUGGGCGUAAAGAGCUUGUAGGCGGUUUGUCGCGUCUGCUGUGAAAAUCCGGGGCUCAACUCCGGACUUGCAGUGGGUACGGGCAGGCUAGAGUGUGGUAGGGGAGACUGGAAUUCCUGGUGUAGCGGUGAAAUGCGCAGAUAUCAGGAGGAACACCGGUGGCGAAGGCGGUUCUCUGGGCCUGUACUGACGCUGAGGAACGAAAGCGUGGGGAGCGAACAGG